UACGUAGGUCCCGAGCGUUGUCCGGAUUUAUUGGACGUAAAGCGAGCGCAGGUGGUUUAUUAAGUCUGGUGUAAAAGGCAGUGGCUCAACCAUUGUAUGCAUUGGAAACUGGUAGACUUGAGUGCAGGAGAGGAGAGUGGAAUUCCAUGUGUAGCGGUGAAAUGCGUAGAUAUAUGGAAGAACACCGGUGGCGAAAGCGGCUCUCUGGCCUGUAACUGACACUGAGGCUCGAAAGCGUGGGGAGCAAACAGG
rnacentral:rRNA from 1 species